rnacentral:lncRNA from 1 species
AGUAAAGAGCAUAGUUGUCGCGUGUAUAAAAUUAUUUUAAUAGGAAAUACUGUUGGGGUGAGGCUCUGUGCGUACAGCAGGGGUAAAAAUACUGAAGGUCAAAGAAUAUAGAUGGUUUUGCCUAUGAAUAAAACUUUGUGCUUCAGUCCCUCCUCCUUGCUGGUGAUGAGUGGGGGAAUCCAGCCUAGAACAUUUCUGAGGGAGACAGAAGAUCAAGUUGAUGAAGACUGGACUGCGACCUGAGUUAAAACCUGAAUGUUGCUAAUUCUUCGGGAAGUCACUUUAAGGUUCAGACUGCCAUAGGGAGGAAUCAGAGGGCAUUUGAUCUUUCCCACCCAAUAUUAAAAUCAACAAUGUCCGUUCCUGCCAUCCUUUGAAAACUAGAUUCCAUAGAUGGGGCAAGCACUCCAGUGCUUUAAAGAGCAGUGUGGUGGAGCAAGUCUCAUUGCUAGCUCAGUUCCCAUGGAGACCUG